UACGUAGGGGGCGAGCGUUGUCCGGAUUUAUUGGGCGUAAAGAGCGUGUAGGCGGCCAGGUAGGUCUGCUGUGAAAACUCGGGGCUUAACCCCGAGCCUGCAGUGGAUACGGGCAGACUAGAGGUAGGCAGGGGAGAGCGGAACUCCUGGUGUAGCGGUGGAAUGCGCAGAUAUCAGGAAGAACACCGGUGGCGAAGGCGGCUCUCUGGGCCUUACCUGACGCUGAGGAGCGAAAGCGUGGGUAGCGAACAGG
rnacentral:rRNA from 1 species